rnacentral:rRNA from 1 species
GACGAACGCUGGCGGCGUGCUUAACACAUGCAAGUCGAACGGAAAGGCCCUGCUUUUGUGGGGUGCUCGAGUGGCGAACGGGUGAGUAACACGUGAGUAACCUGCCCUUGACUUUGGGAUAACUUCAGGAAACUGGGGCUAAUACCGGAUAGGAGCUCCUGCUGCAUGUUGGGGGUUGGAAAGUUUCGGCGGUUGUGGAUGGACUCGCGGCUUAUCAGCUUGUUGGUGUGGUAGUGGCUUACCAAGGCUUUGACGGGUAGCCGGCCUGAGAGGGUGACCGGCCACAUUGGGACUGCGAUACGGACCAGACUCCUACGGGCGGCAGCAGUGGGGAAUAUUGCACAAUGGGCGGAAGCCUGAUGCAGCAACGCCGCGUGCGGGAUGACGGCCUUCGGGUUGUAAACCGCUUUCGCAUGUGACGAAGAGUGAGUGACGGUAAUGGGUAAAGAAGCACCGGCUAACUACGUG